UACGUAGGGGGCUAGCGUUGUCCGGAAUCAUUGGGCGUAAAGCGCGCGUAGGCGGCCCGGUAAGUCCGCUGUAAAAGUCAAAGGCUCAACCUUUGAAUGUCAGUGGAUACUGCCGGGCUAGAGUCCGGAAGAGGCGAGUGGAACUCCUGGUGUAGCGGUGGAAUGCGCAGAUAUCAGGAAGAACACCAACGGCGAAGGCAGCUCGCUGGGGACGGUACUGACGCUGAGACGCGAAAAGCGUGGGGGAGCAAACAGG
rnacentral:rRNA from 1 species